GGACUACACGGGUAUCUAAUCCCGUUUGCUCCCCUGGCUUUCGUGUCUCAGCGUCGGUGCACCCCCAGCAGCUUGCUUUCGCCAUUGGCGUUCCAAAUGAUAUCAACGCAUUUUACCGCUCCACCAUUUGUUCCGGCUGCCCCUAGGUGACCCAAGACCGCCAGUAUGCCCAGCAGUUCCAUGGUUAAGCCAUGGGAUUUCACAAGGCACUUAACGAUCCGCCUACACACGCUUUAAGCCCAGUGAUUCCGCCUAACGCUCGGCACCUCUGUCUUACCGCGGCUGCUGGCAC
rnacentral:rRNA from 1 species